GAUGAACGCUGGCGGCGUGCCUAAUACAUGCAAGUCGAGCGAACGGACGAGAAGCUUGCUUCUCUGAUGUUAGCGGCGGACGGGUGAGUAACACGUGGAUAACCUACCUAUAAGACUGGGAUAACUUCGGGAAACCGUAGCUAAUACCGGAUAAUAUUUUGAACCGCAUGGUUCAAAAGUGAAAGACGGUCUUGCUGUCACUUAUAGAUGGAUCCGCGCUGCAUUAGCUAGUUGGUAAGGUAACGGCUUACCAAGGCAACGAUGCAUAGCCGACCUGAGAGGGUGAUCGGCCACACUGGAACUGAGACACGGUCCAGACUCCUACGGGAGGCAGCAGUAGGGAAUCUUCCGCAAUGGGCGAAAGCCUGACGGAGCAACGCCGCGUGAAUGAUGAAGGUCUUCGGAUCGUAAACCUCUGUUAUUAGGGAAGAACAUAUGUGUAAGUAACUGUGCACAUCUUGACGGUACCUAAUCAGAAAGCCACGGCUAACUACGUG
rnacentral:rRNA from 1 species